AAACCACUCAAGGUAGAAAGCAGUAAGAGAUAUGUUAUUCCUGAGUUGAUAGAGAUAAGUGGAACACCUCAUGAUUGUCAGAAGGAAUUAGAAAUUGAAUCUAAAUCUCCUUUUGAGAAACAAGCAAUACAAGGGGCUCCUUGUUUGUAUGUGGAUGGAACGAGAUUUUAUGCUGAUGGAUCACAUCAUACAGGUUAUGCCAUUUAUGAUGAUCAUAAAAAAGAAAUGCAGAGAUAUAAAUUGCCAGGCCAUAUGUCUGCUCAGAGAGCUGAGUUAGAGGCUGUAAGGAAAGCUCUUGAAAUAACAGCAUAUGACCCAGUGAAUAUAAUCAGUGAC